CGAGGCGGUUCUUGGUUCCUAAGAAGUUUCCAGAGUUGUCUCUGCUGCUUUAUUUGAAAGCUACAAUGUAUACUAAUCCUUGCCAUGCAAGAUCAGCGACGCAUCACAAGUGAGGAUCAGUCACACGCUCUCUCUUCUCUAGCGGCAAGGCCAUUGCAGCUGACCAGUCCGGGCUGGCUGAACCUGAGGAAGGCUAGUUCUGAGCAUGCUCACCUGAAGUUGGAAUCUGUCGGCUCCCCUUUCUUAGUCUCAAUGGACCAACCCCAAAUUAGGGGAAGCGGACCUGUCCCAGGCUACCAAGAACUCUUAAGACUCCUGGCUCUUUGGUAGGGAGCAUAUUUCAGGAUGUCUCUGCUCUGCAGGGAGUCUUUGUGACAGUUUGCUUGGUCUGAGUGUGUGUGUGAGUAUGUGUGUGUGUGUGUAUGAGUAGGUAUAAGUAUAUAUGUGUAUGUGUGUGUGUGUGUGUGUGUGUGUGUGUGUAUGAGUAGGUGUAAGUGUAUAUGUGUAUGUGAGUGUGUGUGUUUCUUCACUUGUAAUAAAGUUUGUCAGCUGUUAAUGCCUGUUGUAUCUGAGAAUUUUCCUGCCUUAUAAUAAACAUUUUUGCCAGGCAGUGGUGGUGCACACCUUUAAUCCCCACACUUGGGAGGCAGAGGCAGGAGGAUCUAUGGAGUC
rnacentral:lncRNA from 1 species